CUGUCUUUCUGGACUUUGCCACCAUGCCUUAACUACCCUGUCACCUUGGGAAUUCCUUAGCACCUGGGAUCCUCUAAUCCUGGAACAUCCGUUUGCCAUGCCAACCCACCUUUCCCACUGAGGACUUUGUGGAUCCAAAGAAAAGCCACCUCAAUAGAGUUCUCAGCUCGGGGGUGGCUCUGCAGCCAAGGCAGGCCUUGGAGGAGGGCUCUCCCGGUUGCUGGAAAAAUCAUGCAAAGCUUCCUUGGGAUUCAGGUCAAAGCACCAAUGACAAGGGAGCUUCAAGAGAUGGAGCCAACAUGCAUUGAAGUCCCUGGGAGAUGGAACCUUAAGGACUCAGAACUGAAUAUAGUCAAACCAUAUUGGUGUGAAUGACUCCAUGGAAAUGCAGAAAGGAAAGGAAGAGGAGGAAGUUUCCUGGUCAAUAGAGGCACCACAAAUUAUCCAGGUCUAAUUAGAUAAAUCAAAAACACCACAUCUCUGGACUGACAAGACCAAAAAGUAUCAUAUGGUGCAGCUAGGUGGUACAGUGGAUAGACUGUCAGAUCUGGAGUCAGGAAGACCUGAGUCCAACUUCAGCC